UUUCCAGGAUUUCCUUAUUAGGCUGCUUGUAGCCUGUAAGCGGCAUUGCUCUCAGUGGUUUCAUGCUGUGUCGAGCAGGGCUGCUGGGAGCGGAGGGAAAAGUUUGAGUUUGACGUGGACAUCUCCGAGGAGUAGUUAGUCUUUAAAUGAAGAAGAGAGGAAGCUUUACAUGGAUGUAAUGAUGGAGAAUUACCAGACCCUCUGGCGCUACUUGUCCACUUAAGGAGGUGACUACCCACCUGUUUGCAGUACUGCCAAUCUCCUAAGGAAAAUAGAAUU